rnacentral:rRNA from 1 species
GAACGCUGGCGGCGUGCCUAACACAUGCAAGUCGAACGGAGAUUAGACGCUGACGAGACUUCGGUCAAAUCUUGUUUAAUCUUAGUGGCGGACGUGUGAGUAACGCGUGGGCAACCUGCCUCAUACUGGGGGAUAGCAGUUGGAAACGACUGAUAAUACCGCAUAAGCGCACGAGAUCGCAUGAUCUAGUGUGAAAAAACUCCGGUGGUAUGAGAUGGGCCCGCGUCAGAUUAGCUAGUUGGUAAGGUAACGGCUUACCAAGGCGACGAUCUGUAGCCGGACUGAGAGGUCGGACGGCCACAUUGGGACUGAGACACGGCCCAAACUCCUACGGGAGGCAGCAGUGGGGGAUAUUGCACAAUGGAGGAAACUCUGAUGCAGCGACGCCGCGUGAAGUGAAGAAGUAUUUCGGUAUGUAAAGCUCUAUCAGCAGGGAAGAAAGGCUCGUAAGAGAGAUGACGGUACCUGACUAAGAAGCCCCGGCUAACUACGUGCCAGCCGCUGC